rnacentral:rRNA from 1 species
CGACCGGCGCACGGGUGAGUAACGCGUAUCCAACCUGCCUUACACUCUUGGACAGCCUUCUGAAAGGGAGAUUAAUACAAGAUGUUAUCAUGAGUAGGCAUUUUCACAUGAUUAAAGGUUUACCGGUGUAAGAUGGGGAUGCGUUCCAUUAGAUAGUAGGCGGGGUAACGGCCCACCUAGUCUUCGAUGGAUAGGGGUUCUGAGAGGAAGGUCCCCCACAUUGGAACUGAGACACGGUCCAA